GAUGAACGCUAGCUACAGGCUUAACACAUGCAAGUCGAGGGGCAGCAUUCUUCUAGCAAUAGAAGAGAUGGCGACCGGCGCACGGGUGAGUAACACGUAUCCAACCUGCCGAUAACUCCGGAAUAGCCUUUCGAAAGAAAGAUUAAUACCGGAUGGCAUACGAAUAUCGCAUGAUAUUUUUAUUAAAGAAUUUCGGUUAUCGAUGGGGAUGCGUUCCAUUAGUUUGUUGGCGGGGUAACGGCCCACCAAGACUACGAUGGAUAGGGGUUCUGAGAGGAAGGUCCCCCACAUUGGAACUGAGACACGGUCCAAACUCCUACGGGAGGCAGCAGUGAGGAAUAUUGGUCAAUGGGCGCAGGCCUGAACCAGCCAAGUAGCGUGAAGGAUGAAGGCUCUAUGGGUCGUAAACUUCUUUUAUAUGGGAAUAAAGUUUUCCACGUGUGGAAUUUUGUAUGUACCAUAUGAAUAAGGAUCGGCUAACUCCGUG
rnacentral:rRNA from 1 species